rnacentral:tRNA from 1 species
UUCCUGGUGGUCCAGUGGUUAAGACUCUACACUUUCAAUGCAGAGGGCACAGGUUCCAUCUCUGGUUGGGGAA